UUGAACGCUGGCGGAAUGCUUUACACAUGCAAGUCGAGCGGCAGCGCGGUCUUCGGACUGGCGGCGAGCGGCGAACGGGUGAGUAAUACAUCGGAACAUGCCCAGUCGUGGGGGAUAACACUUCGAAAGAAGUGCUAAUACCGCAUACGUCCUGAGGGAGAAAGCGGGGGAUCGCAAGACCUCGCGCGAUUGGAGUGGCCGAUGUCAGAUUAGCUAGUUGGUGGGGUAAAGGCCUACCAAGGCAACGAUCUGUAGCUGGUCUGAGAGGAUGAUCAGCCACACUGGGACUGAGACACGGCCCAGACUCCUACGGGAGGCAGCAGUGGGGAAUUUUGGACAAUGGGGGCAACCCUGAUCCAGCCAUUCCGCGUGAGUGAAGAAGGCCUUCGGGUUGUAAAGCUCUUUCGGCAGGAACGAAACGGCGAGCUCUAACAUAGCUCGCUAAUGACGGUACCUGAAGAAGAAGCACCGGCUAACUACGU
rnacentral:rRNA from 1 species